GGAGCUUGCUCCUGGUGGCGAGUGGCGAACGGGUGAGUAGUGCAUCGGAACGUACCCAGGAGAGGGGGAUAACGUAGCGAAAGUUACGCUAAUACCGCAUAUUCUGUGAGCAGGAAAGAGGGGGAUCGCAAGACCUCUCGCUUUUGGAGCGGCCGAUGUCGGAUUAGCUAGUUGGCGGGGUAAAGGCCCACCAAGGCGACGAUCCGUAGCGGGUCUGAGAGGAUGAUCCGCCACACUGGGACUGAGACACGGCCCAGACUCCUACGGGAGGCAGCAGUGGGGAAUUUUGGACAAUGGGCGCAAGCCUGAUCCAGCCAUGCCGCGUGAGUGAAGAAGGCCUUCGGGUUGUAAAGCUCUUUCGGUGGGGAAGAAAUGGCACGGACUAAUACUCUGUGUUGAUGACGGUACCCGCAUAAGAAGCACCGGCUAACUACGUGCCAGCAGCCGCGGUAAUACGUAGGGUGCGAGCGUUAAUCGGAAUUACUGGGCGUAAAGCGUGCGCAGGCGGUUGUGUAAGUCAGAUGUGAAAUCCCCGGGCUCAACCUGGGAACUGCAUUUGAGACUGCACGGCUAGAGUGUGGCAGAGGGGGGUGGAAUUCCACGUGUAGCAGUGAAAUGCGUAGAGAUGUGGAGGAACACCGAUGGCGAAGCAGCCCCCUGGGUCAUUACU
rnacentral:rRNA from 1 species